UGCAUUUGUGACAGGUGAGACCUGAGUCUGGGAACCGCCCCUGGUGGGCGGAGCUGGUCUUUGCUCCUUUGAUAAGCGCAGGUGUGGGCAAUUGGGCAUUUUCUCUGCAAACCUGAAGCUGCAAGUGCUCAGUCCAAGUUGGGCAAGUUGGUGUUUGUAACUUCUUUCUAUGAAAGUCUGAUAUGGGUUCUCUCCUAAACUUCUGUUAGAACGGUGGGAAACAUUGCUCCCGUGAGAACGGUAUAGUGGACUUCAUCGCCACUGACCCACAGUUAUUAGGGUGUGACACGAACUUGUGGACAGAGUACCGAGCUGCUGCUUUGCCAAGUGGAUUUCUGGCUGCGGGCAAAGGACCCGACACGUCACUGAAUUUUAAACUGUUUUAAAUGCGACAGACUGACUGCUGUGGCUGUCAACUGUUUGUCGACAGCCACGCUUGUCUGACCCGCAGCGCUUGUCCUGUUUCACGGGCAAUCACAGUUUUAUCGUUUUUAAACAAGGUAAAGUUUUUAAUUGUUUUUAAGUGCCGCUGUUACAUUGUUACUUUUAUUUUGUAUUAAAAAUUAAAUUCUUUUUAACUGACUGUGCGCCUACGGCUCUGUCCUAUUUUAAAUAGGUACCUACCACGGGUCACAAACUCGCGUUGUCGGACAGGACGAGCCUCUAGGUGUACAAGGCGAUUAGUCAGUUGGUUUGUGUAAAAUUCUUUGUUUAUUUUUAUUUAUUUAUUUUUUUUAUGAGUGUGUGUUUUAUAUUUGUAUGUAUUUAUUUAUUUAUUUUUUUAGGCAAAGCAGCAGCUGGUAAUUCCUGGUGGUAACAAAGUGUAAUCUGCAUUUAACCAUAGUAGGCACACUUAUUGGUGAGGGUUUUUAUUUUUUUAUUAUGGAGUCCCAAUCAGGCAUUUCUAGCCCCCUUAGACCUCAUGACUCUACUCCUAUGGAGGGCUCUCCGCGAGAGAGGUUGGUUUAUAUCCCUAGAGAGAGGUCGUGCCCCCUGUUUAGUGGAACUGGGGAAAUUGGUGUCCAGAGUUGGGUGGAGGAAAUAAAAUCUGUGAUGCGCACUCGUAGACUUGCCCCUAUUGAUAGAGCCCAUUAUAUCUAUGACCAUUUGACUGGUGAUGCUCGUGAAGAAAUAAAAUAUAGGUCCCAGCAAGUAAGAGAAGAUCCAGACCGCAUUCUUGAUAUUCUCCUUAGCCAGUAUGGUUGCCCCAUGUCCUUUAUUGCUGUUAAGGAAGCUUUUUAUGCAAGAAGGCAGCAAGAAGGGGAGUCAUUGAGGCAAUUCUCCCAUGCAUUGUUUUCUCUCAUGGACAAAAUGAUUCAAAGUUGUCCAGAGAGGCGAAUUCCUGAGGCUGCUAGACUGC